rnacentral:rRNA from 1 species
CCUACGGGCGGCAGCAGUAGGGAAUUUUCGUCAAUGGGGGGAACCCUGACCGAGCAACGCCGCGUGAACGAAGAAGUUAUUCGUAAUGUAAAGUUCUUUUAACAGGGAAGAAAGAGAAAUUUGACGGUACCUGAAGAAUAAGCCCCGGCUAACUACGUGCCAGCAGCCGCGGUAAUACGUAGGGGGCGAGCGUUAUCCGGAAUUAUUGGGCGUAAAGGGUGCGUAGAUGGCAUAGUAAGUCUUUUGUAAAAAUGCUGGGCUCAACCCAGUAGGGCAAAAGAUACUGCAAAGCUAGAGUAUGACAGAGGCAGGUGGAACUACAGGUGUAGCGGUGAAAUGCGUAGAUAUAUGUAAGAACACCAGUGGCGAAGGCGGCUUGCUGGGUCGAUACUGACAUUGAGGCACGAAAGCGUGGGGAGCAAACAGGAUUAGAUACCCUAGUAGUC